UAGGGAAUCUUCGGCAAUGGGCGAAAGCCUGACCGAGCAACGCCGCGUGAAUGAUGAAGGCCUUCGGGUUGUAAACUUCUGUUAUAAGGGAAGAACGACUUUAGUAGGAAAUGGCUAGAGUGUGACGGUACCUUAUGAGAAAGCCACGGCUAACUACGUGCCAGCAGCCGCGGUUAUACGUAGGUGGCGAGCGUUAUCCGGAAUUAUUGGGCGUAAAGAGCGCGCAGGUGGUUGAGUAAGUCUGAUGUGAAAGCCCACGGCUUAACCGGGGAGGGGCAUUGGAAACUGGUCGACUAGAGUGCAGAAGAGGGAAGUGGAAUUCCAUGUGUAGCGGUGAAAUGCGUAGAGAUAUGGAGGAACACCAGUGGCGAAGGCGGCUUCCUGGUCUGUAACUGACACUGAGGCGCGAAAGCGUGGGGAGCAAACA
rnacentral:rRNA from 1 species